GUGGUGGGCGGGACAGUUAAAUCUCGGCAGAAAUCAAGGCACCUACUGGAACUGCAGACGUAGGUGCCAAAGGGCACCUUUCAGUGCCCAAAGGAAUCGAGAAAUUAACUACACAUUGAAUGUCCAAGAAGAGGAAAAUCCAUUAUGCAAGAAUCUUCAUAAAUAUAUUGAGAAAAAGAACAAUCUUUUACCCUGUAAAAGAUUGUUCACUACCCACCCCUGCUGCUUCUGAACUUCAUGAGACACACGGAAGGCAACGGACAAACUACUCCGAGGGCUGCAUGCGCUGCUCAGAAGUCAGCAGCUCUCUGCACGGCUGUGCCAAGGUGCCAGGCUGCUGGAACAGCCACAGCUCCGACCCUGGGUCUGGAACAACUGGAAGCAUUAAGAAAAUCACCACACUGUGCAAUGGAAACUCAUCUUAAACCAUGAAACCGGGACUAUGAGAUGCAUACAUGUACAUAUGUGUGUAAAUACUGCCCCCAAAAUCUCAAAAUUAUGUUUACCAUGUUUGAUAUGGUCUGAGAGUUUUGAGUUUUGACUGUGUUGCUUUAUUUGUUAAAGUGUCGUGGUGUG